UUUAGAGCAUGCUCCCCAGAAUCAGUGGUAUUCCAAAGUCAAUAUAGGCCCCUCUCACCUGACUCACCUCUUCCUCAGUUCAGCCCCCCUCAUGUGGGUUACCAUGUUGAGUUGUCAAGGCACAGAUCCUUUACACCACAAUCAGCAUUUUCAGAUUGGGAAGGUACUGAUUUGUGUCUGGAAAGUUUGUUUGACGAAACCAGAGCAGAGUCCCCGCAAUCAGUUUUAUCAGACUUUGAACUUGAUAAGUUAUUUAACAGCAGGGCGUUGUCCCCGGAAUCAGUGUCAUCAGAUUUUGACUUUUGGCUCCUGCAGGACUGGUUGGCUGACUUUAGAGCAUCCUCCCCAGAAUCAGUGGUAUUCCAAAGUCAAUGUAGGCCCCUCUCACCUGACUCACCUCUUCCUCAGUUCAGCCCCCCUCAUGUGUGUUACCAUGUUGAGUUGUCAAGGCACAGAUCCUUUACACCACAAUCAGCAUUUUCAGAUUGGGAAGGUACCGAUUUGUGUCUGGAAAGUUUGUUUGACGAAACCAGAGCAGAGUCCCCGCA